CAUCCUAUUUAAGUACCCUCCAUUCUUACAACAAUGAAUGGGUGGCUAUGCUAAUGGGAUAGAACAACUCUGUCAUGGUCUGAAGGUGUGGCAACUUCUAUGUUUCCUCACCCAAUAAAUUGACAGAACAAUUUAGC